UACGUAGGGGGCUAGCGUUGUCCGGAAUCAUUGGGCGUAAAGAGCGUGUAGGCGGUCCGGUAAGUCAGCUGUGAAAGUCAAGGGCUCAACCCUUGAAAGCCGGUUGAUACUGUCGGGCUAGAGUCCGGAAGAGGCGAGUGGAAUUCCCGGUGUAGCGGUGAAAUGCGCAGAUAUCAGGAAGAACACCCGUGGCGAAGGCGGCUCUCUGGGACGGUACUGACGCUGAGACGCGAA
rnacentral:rRNA from 1 species